CCAUGCCGAACUCAGAAGUGAAACGCCGUAGCGCCGAUGGUAGUGUGGGGCCUCCCCAUGCGAGAGUAGGGAACUGCCAGGC
rnacentral:rRNA from 1 species